rnacentral:rRNA from 1 species
AACGAACGCUGGCGGCAUGCCUAACACAUGCAAGUCGAACGAGACCUUCGGGUCUAGUGGCGCACGGGUGCGUAACGCGUCGGAACCUGCCCUUAGGCUCGGAAUAAUUCCCCGUAAGGGGUGCUAAUACCGGAUAAUGUCUGCUGACCAAAGAUUUAACGCGUUUGGAAGGGCCCGCGUUGUAUUAGCCAGUUGGUAUGGUAAGAGCCUACCAAGGCGACGAUCCAUAGCUGGUUAGAGAGGAUGAUCAGCCACACUGAGGCUGAGACACGGCGCGGACUACUGCGGGAGGCAGCAGUGGGGAAUAUUGGACAAUGGGCGGAAGGAUGAUCCAGCAAUGCUGCGUGAGUGAUGAAGGCCUUAGGGUUGUAAAGCUCUUUUACCCGGGAUGAUAAUGACAGUACCGGAAGAAUAAGCACCGGCUAACUCCGUG